UACGUAGGGUGCGAGCGUUGUCCGGAAUUACUGGGCGUAAAGAGCUCGUAGGUGGUUUGUCGCGUUGUUCGUGAAAACUCACAGCUCAACUGUGGGCGUGCGGGCGAUACGGGCAGACUGGAGUACUGCAGGGGAGACUUGGAAUUCCAGGUGUAGCGGUGGAAUGCGCAGAUAUCAGGAGGAACACCGGGUGGCGAAGGCGGGUCUCUGGGCCGAUACUGACGCUGGAGGAGCGAAAGCGUGGGGAGCGAAC
rnacentral:rRNA from 1 species